UGGAAUAAGGCAACAAAACAAACAAGCAAAAAUAAAAGCAAGAUGAUACCGGAUGCCAUCAAUGGACUUAUACCAAUCUCACAAACAAAAGCGGAUAUCGGAUACCAAUAAAUGGAUUUACACCAAUCUCCUAAAACACAACAAUGAUACCGGAAGCCAAUAAAUGGUCUUACUCCAAUCUCACAAAACAAAACAAAUCAUGGAUGUCAGAUGCCAAUCUAUCUGGGCUUAUACCAACCUCCAAAGGAUGAUCAUAGGAGUACAAAUGCCAACGACAUGGUCUUAC
rnacentral:lncRNA from 1 species